rnacentral:lncRNA from 13 species
CAAAAACAUGUGAGAGGGAGAGAGGCCCUCUUCCACUGCACCUUAGUGUGCCUUUCAGUUUCCAUUUUCGGCUGACUCCUUUGUGCUGCUGCCUGACUCUAGUACAGGGCAGAGACCUCCAUGUCUCAUCUCCUUCCUGCUGCCCUCCCUUGCCAGCCCUCUUCCACCCAGGGGGACGGUCCAGCAUCAACUCAGUCCGUGCUUGAUAAUCCCCCACCUCCAUACCCCACAUCCAGCAAAGCUCCCUGAGUAAUUCACAGCCACCAACCACCAGGGUGCUGAGCUUUCCCCUGGGUCCCUUCAGUGUCUUUGGACAACUAUGCCAGCACUAUGAGCCUAAAAUUGUGGGAGGAAGAAGAUGAUGAAAACUAUAUGAAUCUGAUUCAGGGAUCCCGCUGGGAAGGAGGAUUGGGGGUCUCCUGAGAGAAAGUGAUUUAGCCAAUAUAGAACUCCAUGGAGAGAGGCUGUAGGAAGGUUUAUCAACUCAGAACAAAGACCAGGGAACGAGGUGUGAGGCCGCAUGGCUUCAGCUGGGGGUAGAGGAGUGGGUGAAUCACUCUUUCUAAUGACUUGUCCUGAUGCUUUUGUUUCUAAAGGGUGGCUUCUUGGAGCCUCUUCAUUGGGGGUCGUCUUCAUUGAGUCUGCAUACGACCCCACAAGGCUGGCUUCUUGGAGUGUCUUCAGACUCAAUGAAGACGACCCCCAAGGUUGGGAACUACUUUCCAGUUGCUAAAAGUUAUGCAGGAAACUCCACAUGAUAAAAUGUGUUGACAGCACAUGAUUCUGCCCAUGCUACAGAUGACAUUUUUAUCUUUGGACGAUCCUCAUUUUACAUAAUAAGAUAUAAAACUAAGUGGCACCCUCUAUCCAGUCUGGGGCACUUCAUUAAACCCAGAACUGAGUUUGACGCUGUCUGUCAUUUGCUUUUCUUGAUGAGAACCCUGAACACCUAACCAUUGCCAGCACCCUCUUUUGAGACCCUCGACAUCAAGGGUCCGGGAGAGAACAUCUGAGAGGGUGAGAGGGCACUCCCUCCCUUCACUCCUUGAAGCUACAAGUGAAGACGUUUCUGGCUCAUCCCUGAAGUUUCUCUGCCACGUUUACGUCGACCUCCUCCUUAAGGGAACUGCUCUGACUGCCAAUGAUUUGUUUAGACUUCCCCAGGUUUGGAAUAUUAUACAUAGAAUAAGUCAAUAUGUAUUUCUUGGUGUCUGGCUUUUUUGCUCAUGUUAUUAUUUUAAAAUUCAUUCAUGUUCUAAAGGGUGUUUUCUUAUAUGUCUGGUGCUCACCUGGGAGUGUGAUUCUUAUUUCAGUAAAAAGUAGCAUAGACGUUUUCUUUCCUUUCGUUUAGCAGCUUAAUAAUGGUGAUUGGAUGCCUGCCAUCUUCCCCAGGGGAAGAGUUAUUAUCAGGGUGAGCUCAAAGUUAUGUUACUGUAUGGGAUACCUCUGAGCCCACCGUGGGUCUACUUUAUGGAUGUUGACAAUGACCCACUGUGCCUCUUCUGGUGGCCCUACGGAUGCUCCUGAGAGAACCCAGCACACCUGGAUGACUUUCUGCUCUCUGUUCACAAUCUGUUCUGGGCACAUCUUUCCCCUGCCUCAUGCCUGAAGCUGGCCAUUAACCAGAGUGGGCUGGUUCCUUGAAGUGGGAAGCGGGAUUUGGAGAUCACACUUGGGGUGCUACUCACACAGCCCUUUUGAGCCAGACACUCCAAACACACCCAAAAUGGAGA